rnacentral:rRNA from 1 species
GGUUACGGCCAUACCACCCUGAACACGCCCGAUUCGUCUGAUCUCGGAAGCUAAGCAGGGUCGGGCCUGGUCAGUACUUGAUGGGAGACCGCCUGGGAAACCAGGUGCUGUAAGCU